CUGGUGUGACCACCAUUUGCUUUGACACCGGCUAUGUAUGUAUAUCAUGUAUAUUGAAAAGUUUUUACAUUUUUGAGAAUAAUUUUUAUGAAAAUAAGUAUUUGUGAUUAAUAUUUUUCUUAUAUUUGCAUGUUACGUAAAAAUUAAACAUUUUUAUAUAUUUUACAAUAAAAAUUUGUGUUUUAAUCAUUUUUCGGCAUUGCGAAAUUUUUUUGGUUAUGUCGAUGCUGUGUCGACAAUUGUCAGACGGUAUUAGAAGAAGAAUUAUUAAAAAUUUGAAUUGAAGUUAUUUUUACCAUAAAAAAGCGGAAAUAAUAAAACAUUACGAAAAAGAUAUCUGAUAACGAAUAUUAGCAACGAGUAAUAAAAGUAUUGAGAAUUGGCCUGUUACAAUUAAUGAAGAUAAUUUUUAACUUGGUCUUCUGAACUUCAGUUAAAGAAAAUUAAAAUUCCGCAACAGGGACAUUUUCAUAUGUGCUUCAAAUUGAGGUGGAUGUUUUUCAAAAGCUGAGAGACCCUGUGCUGCAGUUCUUAAGUGUAUUGUUGCAUACGUUGCAUCCACAUGUGAUUCCAGAGUUUUUUUUCAAAAAUAUUUAAUGUUAUGAAGGACUUCUUCUCUAUUGGUCUAUAGAUCUACAUGAAGUUGAAUUCGCAGGUACAAGAGUUCACGAAACUAAGCCAAAUAUUGGUUUUAUAAAUGUGAGUCCAAAAAUAUAUGCAACUUAUCGGGAAAUUGUUGAAGAAUUAGGUGAAUCAUUUAAGAAAAUUCCUAGUUAUUCAUAUACUCGAUGGCUUGUUCGACAUUAGUGUAUUACUGCAAUUCUUAAAUAUUGGAAAUUGAUUUUUCAAUUUUUAAUGGUUGUUGAAUCAGAAGAUAAAUCUCUGAAGGCUAAUAAGUUACUUGGUUUAAUGCAAGAACCAUUAACUUUGGCGAAUUUUUAUUUCUUGCCGUUCACGCUGAAUAAAUUCAGUAUUUUUAAUGCUUCUUUUCAAAAGCGUGAAACAAUGACUCAAAAACUCAGUCCCAAUCAGCCGGUUUCUAAUAUUAGAUUUUACAAAAAUAUUGUAAAAAUGGACUUCUUCAAACACCCUUAAUAUUUUUCCGAUCAGCAAGGAGUGUAAAAUUUGAAAAAGCUUGUAAUCAAAAAGCAGUCGAACAUAUAGGUAAUGAAGCGCAGGAAUAUUUUUUAUAAAUUGUUAACGGGAAAUUGAAGCAAGAGAAAAUUGAUGAGUUUUAAAAGAAAGUUUUGGAAUUUUAUGUUACAGCAAGUUACGAAAUUAUAAAGCGACUGCUUUUUUUGAUCAAUUUCUAUCUUGUGAAAGAUUCACUGGUGGCAGAAAUAUAACUUUUCAAAAAGUCUUUCACUUUCAUAAAGAUUUAAAUGUUUAUUUAGAUGUUUCUGAUUUACGAAGAAAAUGGCACGCUUUGUAUGAACUUCCUUCCGAAGAAAAAGAACAAUUGUCUGGACUAUCAUUUAAUGAUAUGUGCAUUAAGAUCUGCCUUUUUGCAGCAGAGGAUACACUUUAAAAUUCCUAAAUUUAACGAUAUCAUUAAAUUUAGUUAGGACGCUUCAUCCUACAAAUUCAGAGGCAGAAAGGUCAUUCUCUAUGCUCAAGGAAGCUAAAUGGAAAAAAAUCGCUUGGGGGAGGAACCUCUUAAUUCUACUUUGGUUAUAAGAUCUGCAUUGAAAUCUUGGAACAAAACUGCAAAAACAAUGCAGAUAUCGAAGGAUCAUUUUGAAUUGAUGAAAAAGGAUAUUUAUAAAUUUCAGGGAGGGUCUCGUAUAAAUUACAACAGGCAGAGGAGUCCACUUAUAUCACCACCAAGUGAACUAAAGAAAAGAAGAAAAUUUUUUGUUUACAAAAAUAUUAAUUUGAUUUUUAAUUAUUAUUUUUAUUUCAGUGAGAGGCAAUGUGAUAAAAAAUCGAUGCAGCUCUCCAAAAAUAAUAUAUAAAUAAUAAAAAAUAAUAAUAAAUAAUA